rnacentral:rRNA from 1 species
AUUGAACGCUGGCGGCAUGCCUUACACAUGCAAGUCGAACGGUAACAGGUCUUCGGAUGCUGACGAGUGGCGAACGGGUGAGUAAUACAUCGGAACGUGCCUAGUAGUGGGGGAUAACUACUCGAAAGAGUGGCUAAUACCGCAUGAGAUCUACGGAUGAAAGCAGGGGAUCGCAAGACCUUGUGCUACUAGAGCGGCCGAUGGCAGAUUAGGUAGUUGGUGGGAUAAAAGCUUACCAAGCCGACGAUCUGUAGCUGGUCUGAGAGGACGAUCAGCCACGCUGGGGCUGAGACACGGCCCAGACUCCUGCGGGAGGCAACAGUGGGGAAUUGUGGACAAGGGGCGCAAGCCUGACCCAGCAAUGCCGCGUGCAGGAUGAGGGCCUUCGGGUUGUAAACUGCUUUUGUACGGAACGAAAAGCCCUGGGUUAAUACCCUGGGGUCAUGACGGUACCGUAAGAAUAAGCACCGGCUAACUACGUGCCAGCCGCCGCCGUAAUAC